AUCAUACUUUAUGGACAUGAACUUCUUUUGCUUCAGUGAUGGAAGGCAUUGCAAAUGAAACUCAAAUUCUUGCUUCAAAACCAACUAGAUCAUAGAAUUUGCUUAACACAGUAGCACGCAUCCUUUGUUUUUUCUUUGUUGUAUCAGUGCCAUUGGAUUGAUGUUUUCAGAAUGAACAAAACUGGCAUUGCAUAACCGCUAAAA